AAGAAGACAGUAAUACAUGUUGGCCAGGAAGAGAAGAAGCAGGAACUCUCUUAUGUUGCUGGGGUAUCAAGAUCCCCAAGAGAAAUGAAGAUUCUUGUCUACACGGGGACUUGAAUGUUAAUAUUCUCAGCAGCAUGUUCAUAAUAGCCAAAAAUUGCAAACAGAAAGUUAUCUGUCUGCUGGUGAAUGGAUAAGCAAAAUGAUAUAUCCAUACAAUGGAGUGCUUUUCAGGAAUAGGAGAAGUCAAAAGCAGAGAUUCACACUCUUCCUAACAGGCGCAGAAACCACAUUGCUGAUUUUGCUGGGUGACCUCAG